rnacentral:rRNA from 1 species
UCUGACGUCAGUGAAUCAUCGAAUCUUUGAACGCAAUUUGCACCUCGUCGCUUCGGUGACAAGGUAUACUUGUUUGAGUAUCACAAACAACCUCACCCUCCCUUUUGGGUAUGUGGACUUGAGAGUUCUACCUUACGGUAGUCUCUUUAAAAUCAGGUUUUGAAGUCUCAGCAUGAGAUGAUUAUUGGGAUAACAUCCUAACAAUAGUCGUUGCUUUGACUUGACCCCUUCAUUGGGAACAGAACCACCUGUUCGCUCCACCGCAAAGUGUAGUGACCAACAUUUUUAAGUUGAUCUCAAAUCAAGUAGGGAUACCCGCUGGACUUAAGCAUAUCAAUAAGCGGAGG